rnacentral:rRNA from 2 species
AGAGUUUGAUCAUGGCUCAGAUUGAACGCUGGCGGCAGGCCUAACACAUGCAAGUCGAGCGGUAGCACAGAGAGCUUGCUCUCGGGUGACGAGCGGCGGACGGGUGAGUAAUGUCUGGGAAACUGCCUGAUGGAGGGGGAUAACUACUGGAAACGGUAGCUAAUACCGCAUAACGUCGCAAGACCAAAGUGGGGGACCUUCGGGCCUCAUGCCAUCAGAUGUGCCCAGAUGGGAUUAGCUGGUAGGUGGGGUAACGGCUCACCUAGGCGACGAUCCCUAGCUGGUCUGAGAGGAUGACCAGCCACACUGGAACUGAGACACGGUCCAGACUCCUACGGGAGGCAGCAGUGGGGAAUAUUGCACAAUGGGCGCAAGCCUGAUGCAGCCAUGCCGCGUGUGUGAAGAAGGCCUUCGGGUUGUAAAGCACUUUCAGCGGGGAGGAAGGCGGUGAGGUUAAUAACCUCACCGAUUGACGUUACCCGCAGAAGAAGCACCGGCUAACUCCGUGCCAGCAGCCGCGGUAAUACGGAGGGUGCAAGCGUUAAUCGGAAUUACUGGGCGUAAAGCGCACGCAGGCGGUCUGUCAAGUCGGAUGUGAAAUCCCCGGGCUCAACCUGGGAACUGCAUUCGAAACUGGCAGGCUAGAGUCUUGUAGAGGGGGGUAGAAUUCCAGGUGUAGCGGUGAAAUGCGUAGAGAUCUGGAGGAAUACCGGUGGCGAAGGCGGCCCCCUGGACAAAGACUGACGCUCAGGUGCGAAAGCGUGGGGAGCAAACAGGAUUAGAUACCCUGGUAGUCCACGCUGUAAACGAUGUCGAUUUGGAGGUUGUGCCCUUGAGGCGUGGCUUCCGGAGCUAACGCGUUAAAUCGACCGCCUGGGGAGUACGGCCGCAAGGUUAAAACUCAAAUGAAUUGACGGGGGCCCGCACAAGCGGUGGAGCAUGUGGUUUAAUUCGAUGCAACGCGAAGAACCUUACCUGGUCUUGACAUCCACAGAACUUUCCAGAGAUGGAUUGGUGCCUUCGGGAACUGUGAGACAGGUGCUGCAUGGCUGUCGUCAGCUCGUGUUGUGAAAUGUUGGGUUAAGUCCCGCAACGAGCGCAACCCUUAUCCUUUGUUGCCAGCGGUCCGGCCGGGAACUCAAAGGAGACUGCCAGUGAUAAACUGGAGGAAGGUGGGGAUGACGUCAAGUCAUCAUGGCCCUUACGACCAGGGCUACACACGUGCUACAAUGGCAUAUACAAAGAGAAGCGACCUCGCGAGAGCAAGCGGACCUCAUAAAGUAUGUCGUAGUCCGGAUUGGAGUCUGCAACUCGACUCCAUGAAGUCGGAAUCGCUAGUAAUCGUAGAUCAGAAUGCUACGGUGAAUACGUUCCCGGGCCUUGUACACACCGCCCGUCACACCAUGGGAGUGGGUUGCAAAAGAAGUAGGUAGCUUAACCUUCGGGAGGGCGCUUACCACUUUGUGAUUCAUGACUGGGGUGAAGUCGUAACAAGGUAACCGUAGGGGAACCUGCGGUUGGAUCACCU